rnacentral:snRNA from 1 species
AGCAUUUGGGGAUGUAUCC